GCAGCAGCCGCGGUAAUACAGAGGGUGCGAGCGUUAAUCGGAUUUACUGGGCGUAAAGCGUGCGUAGGCGGCUUUUUAAGUCGGAUGUGAAAUCCCUGAGCUUAACUUAGGAAUUGCAUUCGAUACUGGGAAGCUAGAGUAUGGGAGAGGAUGGUAGAAUUCCAGGUGUAGCGGUGAAAUGCGUAGAGAUCUGGAGGAAUACCGAUGGCGAAGGCAGCCAUCUGGCCUAACACUGACGCUGAGGUACGAAAGCAUGGGGAGCAAACAGGAUUAGAUACCCCCGUAGUCCCUGUCUCUUAUAC
rnacentral:rRNA from 1 species